rnacentral:rRNA from 1 species
GAUGAACGCUAGCGGCAGGCUUAAUACAUGCAAGUCGAGGGACAGCACAGGUAGCAAUACUGGGUGGUAACCGGCAAACGGGUGCGGAGCACGUACACAACCUUCCUUUAAGUGGGGGAUAGCCCAGAGAAAUUUGGGUUAAUACCCCGUAAUAUAGUUGAAUGGCAUCAUUUGAUUAUUAUAGCUACGGCGCUUAAUGAUGGGUGUGCGGCUGAUUAGAUAGUUGGCGGGGUAACGGCCCACCAAGUCUACGAUCAGUAGCUGAUGUGAGAGCAUGAUCAGCCACACGGGCACUGAGACACGGGCCCGACUCCUACGGGAGGCAGCAGUAAGGAAUAUUGGUCAAUGGACGCAAGUCUGAACCGGCCAUGCCGCGUGAAGGAUUAAGGUCCUCUGGAUUGUAAACUUCUUUUAUUUGGGACGAAAAAGGGCCUUUCUAGGUCAACUGACGGUACCAGAUGAAUAAGCACCGGCUAACUCCGUGCCAGCCGCCGCCGUAAAAC